GGCAAGGAGAAAGUGCUUGAACUUUGCUCCUCUUAGUGGGGAAAAAGUCUUGCAGAUGAGAUCAGGGAUGAAGAGGCCAGCCUCCCUGGAGACAGGGUUGGAUGUUCCAACACUUCCUGGAUGCCACUGUCAAAUGGCACAGCUCAGCGUUUCCUUGCCAGAAAUGAGUAACCUUUGGGCGUUUCCCGUUCUUCCCCUAUCUGGAGACCCAGCCACCAAGACAACAGGUCUAAUUGACUGCAACUAACUAUCUACAUGUCCUUUUUAAAGAGCACUCUUGCUUAAAUUCUCUAAUUGACUCAUUUUCUUCUGUGACAACACAGGCUAAAAAGUGGUAUUUCAAGGGAGAAUGAGGCAGAGCUUAUUACAUUAUCAACAAUUCAACUCAGCAUGUGCUGAGGAGAUAGAGGCAGUGUCCUUGGAGGCAGAAAAGACACUCAUUCUUGUCUCUAUGAAAGACAGCUUUCACAAAUUGAUUGACCAUCAUGAAUAUUUUGGGAAGAGAUAAACCAUAUUGGAUUUUCCUGUAAAGGAGAGCUAUGAAAAGUUGUUCUCUAUUCACCACCACGGAUUGAUUUCCGAAUUCGCUUUUUAAGACUCUAGCUUUCUUUAUUUGUUUUCUCAUUGGAACCAAGAUGUUUUUCUAAAGGACAACAAUUCUGGAGAUGUGCCUGGUACAAACCUAGAAUAAAGGCAGAGAAAGAGCCAAUGGCAAGAAGAUUCAUCUGGAAAAGUGGCCCAACCUUUGUGAAUCUGGAGGGAAGCCACUCAGAGCCAGCCACUAAAAUCACCUUACAAACGGCCUUCGCCAAAACUUACUGUCACAUAACACUGAGCAAUAAGCCCAGAGCCGUGAGUCCCUGGAGUGCUGCAGAAGACAGGCUUCGUGGAGACGAUGAUCCGGGAUUCCAAUGAGACAUGGGUUCUCCACUUCAUCUCGCCGUGCCAUGGCACAGAUUGACCUGUUACAGGUCAGUGCUAGUGCAUCUUCCCUUCCUGGUUUGCUUUCAAUCAGAAUUCCCUCCUUGGUCUCAGCUGAAGAUGGGCAAGUGUAGCAGCUGUAUUCUUACCUUCCCCGCUCAAGGCCUGAGAGAGUGUACUAGACUCAUGGACUCACAGCUGCAAGUCACCGUGGAUGAUCCUUUCCACCACGGCUGCAAGAGCUUUCAUGUGGCUAAGGUAUAGUCAACCUGUGACUGCAAGAGGGGAAGGGUCGUGUCACCUCUGUCUGCUUCACUGUUUCUCCCCAGGGGAGUGCGUGACCCAUGAUAGGGGCU
rnacentral:lncRNA from 1 species